ACCCAACGAGAGUCCGCGAGUCGGUGCGUGUCAGUCCGUGCGUGUGCUUUACCUAAUAAUAUUUCCAGCGCGGCUAGUCCCGCGCUCUCUCGCCUCUUCUUUUGCCCGACAGCCAGCACGCAUCUCACCGCCCUCUCCUCUCUAUUUUACUCUCUGUCUCUCUCUCUCUAUCUCUCUCCUAUUUUCUCCGCACAUUCGCUGCUAUACAUGUAUGUGUAUGUACAACCCUCUCUCUCUUUUACGCUCUCCCUCGUUAGGAUUUAGGCGUCCGAAGGCGUACGAGCUCUUUGCGCCGCGCCACGCCGCGUCGUCGGAGUCACCCUCCUCUUCCUCCUCUUCCUCCUCCUUCUCCGCCCCGAUCUCCGACGGAUCUCUCACGAAAGCGAGAGAGGAGAAGAAUCACGCUGCAGAGCAGCACGUGUGCUGCACUCGCGCGGAUCGGCAAGCGCGGUGCGGUUUAUUAUAGCCAUCGGCUCUCACCACCGCCGAGAGCCCGCCGCGUGCGAUAGCCGACGUGAAAGUCGUUUUGCCACCCUCUCGACGGACCGACCGGUAAACGUUUGCAGCGCGCGACUAACCGCGGAAGUAAGGGGGUGUCCUCGCGAACGAGCGAACGAGAGCAGAGGCCACUGCGCCGAUUGGAGCGAUAAAUCGCGGAGUCCGCGAGUCGAGUCGGAGUGUCGGAUCUCGCGCGAGUGACAACAGAGCCACGGACCCGUGACUCGCGCCCCUGGGGACUGUGAUUCAUAUAUGCGAGGUGCGACGAAAGCAGGAACAAGCGGCUAACGGAUUGGCAGUGGUGUCGAACGAGGACGUCGGAGGGAGGACGGGCACCGUCGGCCGUCGGCAACUCUUGUGAACGGAAGUGUUCAAAGGCCCGAAGAUUCUGCCUUCGCAGCAGCUGGGCGCUGCGGUCGCUCCAUGGCCGGGCGCAACCGGCCUCAUAGCUUCGGUCACUGCUGACGACAUGGCACAUAAAGGGCACAGCGGGGUGAACCAGCUGGGAGGUGUCUUCGUCGGCGGUCGGCCACUUCCGGACUCGACGCGGCAAAAGAUCGUCGAGCUCGCGCAUUCGGGCGCGCGGCCAUGCGACAUCUCCAGGAUACUGCAGGUCAGCAACGGCUGUGUCUCCAAGAUCCUCGGCAGUAGGUACUAUGAGACCGGAUCUAUAAGGCCCAGGGCCAUCGGCGGCAGCAAACCGCGCGUGGCAACGGCAGAGGUCGUCAACAAGAUUUCGCUCUAUAAAAGUGAGUGCCCGUCCAUCUUCGCGUGGGAGAUCCGAGAUCGCUUGUUGCAGGAGGGCGUUUGUACGAACGACAACAUUCCGAGCGUGUCCUCGAUCAACAGGGUACUGAGAAAUUUGGCCGCGCAGAAGGAGCAGAGGCAGCAACAGCAACAGCAGCAACAAGGGGUGGGCGCUGUAGGGGUUGGCGUCGGUGCCGGCAGCCCGGCGGAGAGCGUUUACGAUAAACUCAGGCUAUUAAACGGACAGACCACUGGAUGGCCGCGACCCAAUCCCUGGUAUCCGUCGAGUGCAGGAAGUCCGUUUUCGUCGAUACAAUCUAGUUUGAGUCCGAGCCAUUGUUCGUCCCUGCCACCGGAUCCGGCGGAUAUAUUGCACGCGAAGAAAGUAACUGAGCUCGAGGGUGGCGCGCACUCGGACGAGACGAAUAGCGGGGGCGACAACAGCAACGCCGGCAGUGUGUCGGGCGGCGCCGAUGACGAUCAGGCUCGUCUCCGCCUGAAGAGAAAACUGCAAAGAAAUCGUACGAGCUUCAGCAAUGAGCAGAUCGACGCGCUCGAGAAGGAGUUCGAGAGGACGCAUUACCCAGAUGUGUUUGCCAGGGAAAGACUUGCCGGCAAAAUCGGCCUACCGGAAGCGCGAAUACAGGUCUGGUUUUCGAAUCGGCGGGCCAAGUGGCGGCGUGAGGAGAAAUUGCGCACGCAACGGAGGGAUAAUCCGCCACCGCCGCCACAGCAGCAGCAACAGCAGCAACAACAACAACAACACACUGCCGGCGUGAGCCUGGUGGGUGCUGGCCAUCCGACACCACCGCCACCCUCAGGAAUACUUGGGGGCCAGCCGCCUCCGCAGGCACCACCCUCGCCCCCCAGAAUACACCAUGGGUUCGCACCUACCGCUGUGUACCCCGGAAUACCCAGCAUGCCCGACUCGUACAGUCCGAUGACGUCGAUGCCGAGCUUCACAAUGUCGGGCGCCAGUCAGCAGAAUCAGCACACGACGAGUAGCAUGUCCUCGUUGUCCGCCGGGAGCGGCAUGAGCCCGAUGGGCAUGACCGUGGGCAUGACCGUUGGACCAAGCCCUGGUGCGUGCCUCCAGCAACGGGACAACGGCUAUUCGUGCGGCGUCGCGCGACCACCGAGCUACGAGCCCCUUCAUUUGGGGUACGGCGCCAGGCCAACCUGCAGUCCCACGCAGCCCUAUCAUGCGGCGAGCCUCAAUCAGUACAAUCAGAACGCCAGCUCGACCGGUGAGUGUCUACCGCACUCACUGCAUUCGCUGCUUGCACUCUAGCCGAUGGACUACUACUACGGCUACCAUGGAUAAUACGCUAUCGAGCCCGCCGGUCUAAUAUCACCUGGCGUGAGUGUGCCGAUCGCGGUACCAGGUCAACCAGCACCCGAUAUGGCGGCGCAAUACUGGUCACCGAGGUUGCAGUGACCGUGGUGGUCGUCAAUGUCGACUUCGUCUCCGUAGACUUGAGCUUCUUUAUCUCCCUUAGCUUACGAUGUCCGUGUCGUGUACGGGAAAACAACACGCGAUCACGCGGUCGUGGAGCGCAGUCUCCGGAAAUCCGCACGUUAUGGGUCGAUCGUGCGUGCGACUGUUCCAUAGUGUAAAUCAAAAUGUGCUAUCGUACCCAUGUAUUCCGUUUAAGCCAAAGUUCCGCGUGGAAACGAAUAUGAUCUGUCCGUAUUCGCGUCCGCUAUUCUUGUUUUUUUUUUUUUUUUUUUUUUCGUUUUUAUCAGGCGAAUGCAUCAUUUCGAGAAAUUUCGGGAAAACGUCAUUGCGAAUUCGCUGGCGCUUACCGACGAGGAUCCGAGAUACGAAGAUCUCAAAAAUUCGUUCUGUCACCUUCGGCAAGGAACUUGAUUCUUUUGAAUGGCUCUAUUGUGACUCCGUUUGUGUAAACUGAUGAUAAAUUUACGAUAUAGUACUCGUGUAAUUGCAAUACAAGAUGCAGUGGGUUUGCAGGAGGAUUAAUCUCUGUAUAAUCGUGAAUCUUAUCGCCGUCAAAUCGAAUUCCCGUGUUCCGUGCUAAAAAAAUUAAUAUGCGAAUUAUCUACACGAUAUGCGAUUGUGAACACUUUCCCGAUCAUGUCCCUCAUUAUCAUAGCCGAACAACUAACGCUGGCUUUCCCGCACUUUCACUAACGGUGUUUGGUAUUGUAAUGUGUGAAUCCAUACAGCACAGAAAGAUUGCAGAAACAUUGCAAAAAUAUUUUAUUGUAAGAUUAACAUUGCGAACACGUUACGAAAUGUUGCCACAGUGACCGCUGUAAUAUUUCUACAACAUUACAGCAACAAUAAAAUUUCUUUAGAAAUUCUUUACAAAUAUUACAAUGCAGUAUUGCGGUGUUACAAUGUAAUAUGUUUUAAUGUUUCGGAUUCCAGUUGCGCUUAAUUAACACAUUUUAACACAUAUAACUUCUAAGAAUAUCAAAAUAUUUUUCUGAAUUAAUUUUUACACAAAAAUACUAAAAAUUUUAUUACUAAAAUAUAUUUUAUUUAUUUUUGUCUUUGAACUUAAUUUUGGGCACUUGUCGCUUCAAAGAAUCAUUUCAUUAAAAUAUAGAUGAAAAAUCUUAUUAUACUACGUUUUUUAUAUUCUAUCUUGAGUAAUUUUUUAAUUAUGAAAAAUAGAACUCUGCCGAGUCAAUCUAUUGGCAGUGAUACUGCUCGCGGGAGAAGUACAAGACAUUAUUUAUCAUAAUAUUUUUGAAACGUUGCUGAAAUAAUAUUGCAAAAAAGCUUCUGUGCUGUAUAGAUGAGACAUACCUCUUCUCUUUAUUUCGAUGUCGUAACAGAAUAUAAUUCAUAAGAGCACAACCAUUGAUAGACAUAUUAUUACGCCAAUCAAUGACAAUCCAUGGUUUUCAUAUUACAUAAUUAAUACGUAAAAUGAUCGGCAAGGUGGGAAAAAUCUCUCAAAGCAUCAUCCACGUAUGCACAUCUUUGUAAACUUCCUUUUAAUUCGUACAAUUAUACCUCUGAGCCGAGACAUCUUUAUAGAUAGAACCGAGCAAGGUGAGACGCGGUGAAACAAAGGAAAAAAAUAGAAAAAGAAUACAAACCAUCGGCAAUGUGCAACACGUGUAAAAAUAAUUAGCGCGAAGAUUGAAGAGGAAGAGAAUCGUUCCCGAGGAUUCCUGCGGGAAAGAAUUUUUAUUCGCAACGUUUCAUAGGUGUAACUUCUGUAGAAGGGAAGAGAGUAAAUAAAAUAGUUUCUAAGUCGGUAUUACGUUAUUAUUUAUACUCGUCAUACGAGGGUGCCAGGAAAUAAUAAACGUGAGUUCAUUGUGUGUACAUCCUAAGGAGAAUACCAACAGUUAUAUAUAUAAUACAUUAUAAUUAUAUAUAUAUAUAUAUAUAUAUAUAUAUAUAAUAUAUAUAUAUAUAAAAUUAUAUAUUACAUAUAAUUAUUAUAUAUAUAAUUGACUUUAAUUCUCUAAAUAACUUGGUAAAAUCAAUUCAUAAUUUAUAUUCGGUGCAAGGUUCGAGAAAAAAGAAAGAAAGACCGAACAUGCCAAUUGUGAUUUCCCUUAGACCAGGUAUGUUAAACGUACGAUUAUGCGUUCUAAAUAAAUAGUGUGUGCAUUUAAUCGAGAGUUCUCUCAAUGCUUGUUUUCUAAUUGGAGAAUUUAUUUGCGAGAUUAUGGCGUGUAUAACACAAUCGCUUUCCUGUUAUAAAUAAAAUAAAAUCUCUACGGAGAGCGAGCCAGUAUCUAAUACCAAAUUAUCAAAUAUAAUUAUCAUAUGCGGUUUCCCAUUAGAAAUCAAGCGCAACUCCUUCCCGAACUCCUCCCGUGUUCAUCUCUUUCUCUCUCGAUCCGAUACUCAUAUUUGUACUUAUCCCUCUCCUGCAUUAUCGUCCAAUUGAAUCACUCGUAAGAAAUAAUGGAAAGUGGGAUGCAAGAAAGCGAAAAAACCAUCGUUUUACCUUGCAAAUGUAACAAUUGUAUAUUUAUUUCAACUUAAUAAUUAAUUUACACUUGAA